rnacentral:rRNA from 1 species
AAUUUUCCGCAAUGGGCGAAAGCCUGACGGAGCAAUACCGCGUGAGGGAUGACGGCCUGUGGGUUGUAAACCUCUUUUCUCAAGGAAGAAGUUCUGACGGUACUUGAGGAAUAAGCAUCGGCUAACUCUGUGCCAGCAGCCGCGGUAAUACAGAGGAUGCAAGCGCUAUCCGGAAUCACUGGGCAUAAAGCGUCUGUAGGUGGUUUGGUAAGUCUGCUGUUAAAGACUGGGGCUCAACCCCAGAAAAGCAGUGGAAACUGCUAGACUUGAGUGUGGUAGAGGUAGAGGGAAUUCCUAGUGUAGCGGUGAAAUGCGUAGAUAUUAGGAAGAACACCAAUGGCGAAGGCACUCUACUGGGCCAUAACUGACACUGAGAGACGACAGCUAGGGGAGCAAAUGGGAUUAGAUACCCCAGUAGUC